rnacentral:ncRNA from 1 species
AAUCCAGAGGUGAUGUGAGGCUAACUCAUAUCACUCCGCAGCAAGCGAAGGCACCUUUGGUGCCCGUGGUAUAGUCCCCCCGGCUAUACCACGAUAUUUUUUU